UACGUAGGGGGCCAGCGUUGCUCGGAAUUACUGGGCGUAAAGGGUUCGUAGGCGGUGUGGCAAGUCGGAAGUGAAACCUCCAGGCUUAACUUGGAGACUGCUCCCGAAACUGCCAUGCUAGAGUGCGGGAGAGGCCAGUGGAAUUGCAGGUGUAGCGGUGAAAUGCGCAGAUAUCAGGAAGAACACCCGUGGCGAAGGCGGCUCUCUGGGACGGUACUGACGCUGAGACGCGAAAGCGUGGGGAGCGAACAGG
rnacentral:rRNA from 1 species